UUCAUUGGUGUUGCCUUCUGGUGAAAUAACGUUUCGACAGUAAAAGUUAGGGGCUGCCAAAGCUUUUUGGAAAUAGGCAUUUGCGGACUCCAGCAAGUGUGAAGUGGGUCCCCCGGUGAGACGGGUGCUGGGGCAGUCGGCGGUGGGAACGUGUCGCCGGUUGUAACGGUUCAGACAGUGAGCCAGAAAUCAAUGUUGUACAGGGCAGAUAAGGGAGAAAAGCAGCAUCGAUUCCCCUCCCUUCCAGAGGUGCCACGGUCGUCUGCACCGUUCAGCCCCCGCGGUUGAGAGGACCUGGGAGUGCGGCAUGUAGUAAACUUCGAGGGAGGUGGAAAAAAAAAUCACACGUCUGCUGAGUCAUAAUUACAGCCCUGACAGAGGCAGCAAAUGGCAGACUUCAAGGGACAACACCAGGGUUGUAGAGGAAACGUUUAAUGUGGAGCAGACACACGAGGACUAUUAGUGGAACAGAGAGAUGACUCAAGCAAUCUGGCUAAUGUACAGGACACUUGAACAUGAUGGUGACCUCAUUGCAGACUUCUAGCCCAGGGUAAUCUGGGAUGCAUCACAGGUCAUCCCCUGCAGUUAUUACUGCUGGAGAAGGGCUCUCUGCGCAGGUGAGUAUUGCUUAAUUAGAAAGGAAAACAAGUAAUGAAACUCUGCAGUCAGACCCUUGGCUCGUCAAAUCCGGAAAAACCAGCCUCGCAGUCCUUAGCUGUUUGCUCGCAGCACAGUCGUGCCGGAGAGAAGCUGGUAGGUCUGUGAAUUAAUGAUGUGCUCCGCACUCCUGGUUUGCAGUCGCUGCACUCCUCCCGUGCGGUUUGCUUGUCAAUCUGUGCCAUGAGUUUUCAGAGCCGAUCAGAUUAUUCACUGCGCAUUAAUCAUUCGGUCAGCUGAACUUUCGCCCCCUCACAGAAAUCAAUCCCGAGCGGGCUUUUACUUUUAUGGAUUUGUUCAUUAGUUGUCCUCAGUGGAAGAGUUAAUAGUUAAACCUUUCACACUUGUUUUCUCACAUCAGGGUGCCAAAGUCCAUACUUGGAUGCCAAGGUACAAGGAGCCUGAUUUCCCGAAGCGUUCAGCACUUAGAAGUUCGUCUGGGAUUAACGGGAGCUGCGGGCGUUCGGCACCUCUGACCGUGUCUUUGUACCUGGAUUUGCGCUCCUGACGUGACACGCACGCACAGGGUAGACCAUUGAGGUGCCUCUGUUGUUUGCAGGCUGUUCGUGUGUCUCAGUUGUGAUGUGGUAGUGUCGUUCGACCGGACCUCUUAGUCCUCGUAGUAUCGUUUCACCUACCUGAAUGGAGAAGUGAAAUAUUUUUAAACAAGCAAAUAAUAUAGGACCAAAUGCCCAGUUCUCUCCCCCUCCCGUGACUGCCCUUGGCUGAGUGCAUAGGAGGCCAUUAGGGCGAAGGACAAGGAAGAACGCAAAUCUGUAGGUCUGAGUAAAGGAUAAAAAAGACAGCCAAAAACCCAUAAUGAACGGAGUCUGAAUGAGUGUCUGUGAGCGCUGCUUUUGCCCCAUUCCCCCAGCUCUAUCAGCAGGCUGCGAAGGUUUCUGGUGGAGAGUUUAAUUUCCCUACAGGUGCAAUAGGCAUUUGCUCCUCCUUUCUAAAAUUAUUCAGAUACCUUAUAAAUAUUGCAGCAUAUUGCUUUAUUUGUACGAGCCCGGCACUGAUUUAUAACCUUGAGUGACAAAUAAAUCCACUCAGCUCA